UGCAGGAAGCAUGGAAUGGUUCAAGAUGGCUGCCGUUUCCAUGGAAACAGAACAAAUGUGAAAAAAUCCAGUUUUUUGUUUUGGUGAACUGUUUGGAUAUGCUUUAUCUCAGAAUCAUUAUAUUUUAAUACAAUGUAGGUGCCCACUAUAUAUACAGGUGUUGGAUGAUUUUGGUGACUCAUUGGAACUACUAUGUUGCCAUGGAAACUACACCAAAAAUUUCAAAAUUCUCAAAAUGCUCCAAACUUCAGGAAACUUCACAGUAACGAUGAGCAACAUUGGAAGAUGUGGAAUUUGGCGUUGGAAUUUCCAAAAUAUCUGUUGUUACCUUGGAAACAAUGCAAAAAGGUCAAAACUUUGAAUUUUCACAGAACAUUCCAGAACAUCAAUGUUAAAUUUAUUCUAGAGACAUUAAAUGGUAUAUGAUUAUGGAGGGCAAAAAAUUGCAGCGGGGGUUUGACUUUGGAAUAUUCAAAAUGGCCGCCGUUACCAUGGAAACAGCAAAAUUAUCCAAAAUUUCAAAAUGCUUCAAACUUAAUGAAACUUUGCAAAAAUGUUACUAGACAUCUGUAGAUGCACUAUUUGACUUUGGAAUUUUCAAAAUGGCUGCCGCUCACCUGGCAAUGGGGGGAAGGGUGCCAUCCGUUAUUGCUAGCAAUUACAAAUCUAGUUAUGGCACCCUCAACGGAGUUGGGGUGACAUAUUGUUAUUCUACGUUUCUUUUUUUUCUUAUUAUUAUUAUUAUUUUUUUUCUUGCAACAAAUUUUGUCCAGGUGAUUUCUCGAAAUCCAAUGGACCAAUGUUGAUGGAACUCUACUAUAGUAAGGACCCCCAGUUGCAGAGUUGCAGGAAGCAUGGAAUGGUUCAAGAUGGCUACCGUUUCCAUGGAAACAGAACAAAUGUGAAAAAAUCCAGUUUUUUGUUUUGGUGAACUGUUUGGAUAUGCUUUAUCUCAGAAUCAUUAUAUUUUAAUACAAUGUAGGUGCCCACUAUAUACAGGUGUUGGAUGAUUUUGGUGAUCAUUGGAACUACUAUGUUGCCAUGGAAACUACACCAAAAAUUUCAAAAUUCUCAAAAUGCUCCAAACUUCAGGAAACUUCACAGUAACGAUGAGCAACAUUGGAAGAUGUGGAAUUUGGCGUUGGAAUUUCCAAAAUAUCUGUUGUUACCUUGGAAACAAUGCAAAAAGGUCAAAACUUUGAAUUUUCACAGAACAUUCCAGAACAUCAAUGUUAAAUUUAUUCUAGAGACAUUAAAUGGUAUAUGAUUAUGGAGGGAAAAAAUUGCAGCAGGGGUUUGACUUUGGAAUAUUCAAAAUGGCCGCCGUUACCAUGGAAACAGCAAAAAUAUCCAAAAUUUCAAAAUGCUUCAAACUUAAUGAAACUUUGCAAAAAUGUUACUAGACAUCUGUAGAUGCACUAUUUGACUUUGGAAUUUUCAAAAUGGCUGCCGCUCACCUGGCAAUGGGGGAAGGGUGCCAUCCGUUAUUGCUAGCAAUUACAAAUCUAGUUAUUAUUAUUAUUAUUAUUUUUAUUCUUCCACACUUUUUUGUCCAUUCUAUUUCUCGGAAUUGGCUUGAACAAUAUUGAUGGAACUAUACCAUAAUGUAGACCACCACAUUCUAUAGUGCAGUGGGGUAUGGCACCAUCAAGAUGGCUGCCGUUGCCAUGGAAACGAAACAAAUGUGAAAAAAUCCUGUUUUUUGUUUUGGUGAACUGUUUUGAUAUGCUUAAACUCAGAAACAUUAUAUUUUGAUACAAUGUAGGUGCCGGCCACUAUAUACAGGUGUUGGAUGAUUUUGGCACUCAUUGGAACUACUAUGUUGCCAUGGAAACUACACCAAAAAUUUCAAAAAUAUCAAAAUGCUCCAAACUUCAUGAAACUUCACAGUAACGAUGAGCAACAUUGGAAGAUGUGGAAUUUGGCGUUGGAAUUUCCAAAAUAUCUGUUGUUACCAUGGAAACAAUGCAAAAAGGUCAAAACUUUGAAUUUUCACAGAACAUUCCAGAACAUCAAUGUUAAAUUUAUUCUAGAGACAUUAAAUGGUAUAUGAUUAUGGAGGGCAAAAAAUUGCAGCGGGGGUUUGACUUUGGAAUAUUCAAAAUGGCCGCCGUUACCAUGGAAACAGCAAAAUUAUGAAAAACUUCCAAAAUGCUUUAAAUUUAAUGAAACUUAUAACAAAUGUUGCCUAGCUUAUGUAGACUUAAUUUUUGAGUUUCGAAUUUUCAAAAUGGCCGCCGUUGCCAUGGAAACAGCAACAAAAUUUUUGAAAUGGCUGCCGCUGGCCUGGCAAUGGGGAAAGGGUGCCAUCCGCUAUUGCUUGCAAUGGCAAAUCUAGUUAUUAUUAUUAUGAUUUUUCUUCCACCUAAUUUUGUCCGGCAGUUUUUUUGGAGCCAAAGGAACCAAUCUGAAUGAUGGUGCACUAUAACAAGGAACCCUGACUUUCCAGUUGCAGUGCAACUUUGGAACUAAAAAAUGGCUGCCAUCACCAUGGAAACAGGAAAAUGGUGAAAAAAUAUAUUUUAGAGUUCGGCCAAUUAUUUGAGAAUGGUUAUGCUUAAAAUCUUUAGAUUUUGAUACAAUGUAGGUGCCCACUAUACACUGGUUUUGGGAUGAUUUUGGCAAUCAUUGGAACUGCUAUGUUGCCAUGGAUACUACACCAAAAAUUUCCAAAAUAUGGAAAUGCUCCAAAUUUAAUGAAACUUCACAGUAACGAUGAGCAACAUUGGUACAUGUGGAAUUUGGCGUUGGAAUUUCCAAAAUGUCUGCCGUUUCCAUGGAAACAAUGCAAAAAUGGUCAAAAUGGUCCAAAAACACCUAAAAGUGGCAUUUACUUUCUUAAAAGGGUAGGUCAAAUCCAUUGAAACUCUGAUGGUAUGUUCCCUCCCAUGUACCAAUGUGGUAUCUGCCAUUAGAAAUUUGGAAUGGUCUGUGUAACCAUAGAAACCAGCCAAAAUGUCAAAAAUUUCAAAAAUUUCAAAAUGCUCAAAAAGUAAUGAAACUUACUAUGAUUGUUGACUGUCAAGUCUGCAUGAAACUUUUGAAGUUGGAAUUUCCAAAAUGGCUACCGUUGCCAUGGAAACUGCAAAAAUGUCAAAUAUUUUCAAAAUGCUCCAAACUUAAUGAAACUUAAUAAUAUUGUAAACUGGCAUGUAUAGAUGAGACUUUUGACUUUGAAACUUUCAAAAUGGCUGCCGUUGCCAUGGAAACAGCAAAAAUGUCAUAUUUUUAAAAAUGAUCUAAAUGUACUGAAAAUUUACAGAAAAAUGUAUAGCCAUGCAAAUAUGUGCAUUCACUGUUAAAAGUUUUUGAAAUGGCUGCCGCUUAGUGGCAAUGGGGGGAAGGGUGACAUCCGCUAUUGCUUGCAAUGGCAAUUCUAGUUAUUCUUCCUCUUCCUCUUCUUCUUCUUCUUCCGCCACUUUAAAAAUGAACUUGUCCGCAGCGGUUCUCCUAAACGGCUUGUCAGAUUUACUUAGGAUUUUACAAUAUGUUAGACUAACAUGUCUAGGUGAGCCAUCAAUGUUUCGUUUGUGCAUUUGGGUCUAUUAAGGGGUAUUUUGGGGGGUAGAAAGGAGGGAGGGGUUUACUAUAGAACCCUAUGGGAUUUUAUUUUCUAAAAUUUUCAAAUGAAUAUAACUUAAAAACUGUAAGUGAUAGAUACAUGCAGUCUUCAGAAAUGAUUAUAGGACAAUAAAACAAAUCACAUGAAAUAUAGGGGGAGUCCCUGGGGGUCAUCCCCACCCCCUUCAAUUUGAGAAUAUGCUUUUAUCUUGUAAACGGUCCAGAUCCCCACCCCUAAACCAUAUAUAUUCUUGAAUGGGACGAUAAAACAAAUCAAAUGAAAUUAAAAGGAAGUCCCCGGGGGUCAUCCCCACCCCGUUCAAUUUGAGAAUGUGCUAUUAUCUUGUAAACAGUCCAGAUCCCCACCCCUAAACCAUAUAUAUUCUUGUAGGGGACAAUAAAACAAAUGAAAUGAAAUAAAAGUGAUGUCCCUAGGGGCUCACCCCACCCCCUCUUGUUUGAAAACUUGUAAACGGUCAACAUCCCCAGGGGGUCAUCCCCACCACGUUCAAUUUGAGAAUGUGCUAUUAUCUUGUAAACGGUCCAGAUCCCCACCCCUAAACCAUAUAUAUUCUUGUAGAGGGGCAAUAAAACAAAUGAAAUGAAAUAAAAGUGAUGUCCCUAGGGGCUCACCCCACCCUGUCUUGUUUGAAAACUUGUAAACGGUCAACAUCCCCACCCCUAAACCAUAUCUAUUCUUGUAUGGGACAAUAAAACUAAUCAAAUGAAAUUAAAUGGAAGUUCCUGGGGGUCACCCCCACCCUGUUCAAUUUGAGAAUAUACUAUUAUCUUGUAAACGGUCCAGAUUCCCACCCCUAAACCAUAUAUAUUCUUCAAUGGGACGAUAAAACAAAUUAAAUGAAAUUAAAGGGAAGUCCCCGGGGGGUCAUCCCCACCACGUUCAAUUUGAGAAUGUGCUAUUAUCUUGUAAACAGUCCAGAUCCCCACCCCUAAACCAUAUAUAUUCUUGUAGGGGACAAUAAAACAAAUGAAAUGAAAUAAAAGUGAUGUCCCUAGGGGCUCACCC
rnacentral:lncRNA from 1 species